UCGCGUAUCAAAUACCAGUAAGUCGAGUCGGCAGGUAACUGCCUGGGGCUUGAAAAGGUGUGCAGUCAACAGGUGGGGGACGGAAAAAUCGCAUUCCUAUAAAAUCGUCUAUAUUAUGUGAUAGUAUUGGAUAUUAUCUUCACCUAAUGCUGUGAAAGGAUUCUAGCAGUUGUUGGACGAGUAAAUUUGAAGUCAGAACCUCUGGAAACGCGGCGGAAAGGGAAUUUCGUCUGCUUCAUGUGGUUACUUCUCCAGGGCCAAACUGGAAGCACUGUGAACUGGGAGGAACUUCUCGUUUCUCAACAGCGCCAUUGUGGAUCUAGACGGAGGUAAACUGAGAAUGUUGCGACGUGUUUUCCGUUUUCGUUUAAAAACCAUGAUGUACCAGCGGUCUUCGCAAAAAGACUACAUAAACAGAGGCGUUCUUGGAUCAUUUGUGAGGAUUUGUCCGCUGAUAUAUGUUUAAACCAUCAGGAAGACUGUCUUGUGUUUGGUUCUUUUGGAUCCUUUCAUGAUUCGGUUCAAUAAAAUGGCGUCCACGGAGGAAUUAGUCUCAACAGUUUUUAUUUUUUGCGGUGAAUCUAGGAAAAGGUAAGGUUGUUUCGACUUCGUAAAAACACGCGACUCUCCCCUUGAGUGUUCGUCGACCAGUGGCUUUUGACUUUUAAGUUAAGAUUCUGUUAAUAACCUAGUUUACUCAUAGCUGUGGAUUUUCCAGCUUAUUCCGGGGGACUUUUGUACCUGCGUGUAUGGACAAAUGACCACGAGCCUGAUCUACAUGUAAGACAUAUUUUACACUGAUUAUUUCUUGAUAUAUUCAAGUUCAACUUGAGGCCUAAAUUAGUUAACAAUGAAAUGUCAUUACAUAUUGGACACUUCGGACUAGAUUUGGACCAUUGCAGGGAUUGGCUGAGUCCGAGUUUGACCGUUUAUGUGUUAAGCAUAACUAGUACUAUUGUGAGAGGUUGUCGAGGUGUGGGGCAGAGGAGGUCAAAAGUUACGUAAAUGGCUGCCGUGUUUGUGGCAGGAGAUGGAAGUUCGAAGUUCACAGACGAACACUGCGUACUUAUAAUUAGUGUAGUUCAGCGUGAGACGGUCGUUGGGGAAGUGAUUUGACUCUGCACCAGGCGGUGUAGUCUUGUCGUGCUAGCAGAGCUCAUCAUCUGCUCAAAGUAGUCCAGAGAUUCCACAUUUGGAGGUAGGAGAAACGGCCUCCAACAUGCCUGGCUAUCAACUGGAGAUAUUUGAAGUCAGGGUUGAAGAAAAGUAUCUGUGCUCAGCAUGCCGCCUGGUGUUGCGGGAACCCUUCCAGACAUACUGUGGGCACAGAUACUGCAAGUCAUGCCUGGAUGAGAUCUUCAGGCUGCCAGGUAUCCAGAUGUGUAAGCAGUGCCCACAGGAUACACAGUCAGAGGACUCUCUGCUCAAGCGUGAUCAGG